rnacentral:rRNA from 1 species
GUCGUCGCUCAAAGGAUAAAAGGUACGCCGGGGAUAACAGGCUGAUCUCCGCCAAGAGUUCACAUCGACGCGGAGGUUUGGCACCUCGAUGUCGGCUCGUCGCAUCCUGGGGCUGAAGAAGGUCCCAAGGGUUGGGCUGUUCGCCCAUUAAAGCGGCACGCGAGCUGGGUUCAGAACGUCGCAAGACAGUUCGGUCCCUAUCUAUUGCGGGCGUAGGAAUAUUGAAGAGUGCCGACUCUAGUACGAGAGGACCGAGUUGGACGAACCGCUCGUGUACCAGUUGUACCGCCAGGUGCAUUGCUGGGUAGCGAUGUUCGGUAUGGAUAAGCGCUGAAAGCAUCUAAGCACGAAACCAACUGCAAGACUAGGUCUCCCCUAUGGGUCGUUCGAGACUAGGACGUUGAUAGGCUACAGGUUUAAGCAUGGCAACAUGUUCAGCUGAGUAGUACUAAUUACCCAUGAGGCUUAAGCCA